UACGAGGGGUGCAAGCGUUGCUCGGAAUUAUUGGGCGUAAAGGGUAGGUAGGUGGUCUCAUUUGUCUGGGGUGAAAGCCUCGAGCUUAACUCGAGAAGUGCCUCGGAAACGGUGAGACUAGAGUCUUGGAGAGGGUCGUGGAAUUCCCGGUGUAGCGGUGAAAUGCGUAGAGAUCGGGAGGAACACCAGAGGCGAAGGCGGCUCUCUAGUACGGUACUGACGCUGAGACGCGAAAGCGUGGGGAGCGAACAGG
rnacentral:rRNA from 1 species